rnacentral:rRNA from 1 species
GGGGGCAACCNUGAUCCAGCAAUGCCGCGUGAGUGAAGAAGCCNUUCGGGUUGUAAAGCUCUUUUGUCAGGGAAGAAACGGUGAUUUCUAAUAUAAGUCACUAAUGACGGUACCUGAAGAAUAAGCACCGGCUAACUACGUGCCAGCAGCCGCGGUAAUACGUAGGGUGCAAGCGUUAAUCGGAAUUACUGGGCGUAAAGCGUGCGCAGGCGGUUAUGUAAGACAGAUGUGAAAUGCCCGGGCUCAACCUGGGAACUGCAUUUGUGACUGCAUGGCUAGAGUGUGUCAGAGGGGGGUAGAAUUCCACGUGUAGCAGUGAAAUGCGUAGAGAUGUGGAGGAAUACCGAUGGCGAAGGCANCCCCCUGGGAUAACACUGACGCUCAUGCNCGAAAGCGUGGGGAGCAAACANGAUUAGAUACCCNGGUAGUCCACGCCCUAAAACGAUGUCUAUCUAGUUGUCGGGUCUUAAUUGANUUGGUAACG